UGCAGAAUCCCGUGAACCAUCGAGUCUUUGAACGCAAGUUGCGCCCGAAGCCAUUAGGCCGAGGGCACGUCUGCAUGGGCGUCACGC
rnacentral:rRNA from 1 species